AGUGAACGCUGGCGGUAGGCCUAACACAUGCAAGUCGAACGGCAGCACAGUGAGAGCUUGCUCUUACGGGUGGCGAGUGGCGGACGGGUGAGGAAUACAUCGGAAUCUACUUUUUCGUGGGGGAUAACGUAGGGAAACUUACGCUAAUACCGCAUACGACCUACGGGUGAAAGCAGGGGAUCUUCGGACCUUGCGCGAUUGAAUGAGCCGAUGUCGGAUUAGCUAGUUGGCGGGGUAAAGGCCCACCAAGGCGACGAUCCGUAGCUGGUCUGAGAGGAUGAUCAGCCACACUGGAACUGAGACACGGUCCAGACUCCUACGGGAGGCAGCAGUGGGGAAUAUUGGACAAUGGGCGCAAGCCUGAUCCAGCCAUACCGCGUGGGUGAUGAAGGCCUUCGGGUUGUAAAGCCCUUUUGUUGGGAAAGAAAAGCAGCAGGUUAAUACCCCGCUGUUCUGACGGUACCCAAAGAAUAAGCACCGGCUAACUUCGUG
rnacentral:rRNA from 1 species